rnacentral:rRNA from 1 species
GCAAAUUUACACCGUAACUUCGGGAGAAGGUGUGCCGCUGGCGGUUAGUGACUUCGCGUCACGAAGCUGUCGGUGGUCGCAGUGAAAUGGCGGUUGUGACUGUUUACUAAAAACACAGGACUCUGCGAAGUCGUAAGACGACGUAUAGGGUCUGAUGCCUGCCCGGUGCUGGAAGGUUAAGGGGAUAUGUCAGCGCAAGCGAAGCAUUGAACCGAAGUCCCAGUAAACGGCGGCCGUAACAAUAACGGUCCUAAGGUAGCGAAAUUCCUUGUCGGGUAAGUUCCGACCUGCACGAGGGCAUAACAACAUCCGCACUGUCUCGACCAGGGACUCAGCGAAAUUACAUUGGGGGUGAAGAUGCCCUCUACCCGCGGAAAGACGGAAAGACCCCAUGAACCUUUACUGCAACUUGGCAGUGAUUUUCGGGUUGUUCUGCGUAGGAUAGGUGGGAGGCUUUGAAGUCGGGCUUCCGGGUUCGACUGAGCCAACGUUGAAAUACCACCCUGAAUAAUCUGGAAAUCUAACCUGCGCCCAUGAUCUGGGCGAGGGACACUGCCUGGUGGGCAGUUUGACUGGGGCGGUCGCCUCCUAAAUUGUAACGGAGGCGUGCGACGGUUCCCUCAGGCUGAUUGGAAACCAGCCGUAGAGUGCAAACGCAUAAGGGAGCUUUACUGCGAGACUGACAAGUCGAACAGUUGCGAAAGCAGGUGUUAGUGAUCCGGUGGUACCACACGGAAGGGCCAUCGCUCAUCGGAUAAAAGGUACUCUGGGGAUAACAGGCUGAUCGCGCCUGAGAGUUCACAUCGGCGGCGCGGUUUGGCACCUCGAUGUCGGCUCAUCGCAUCCUGGGGCUGGAGCAGGUCCCAAGGGUUUGGCUGUUCGCCAAUUAAAGCGGUACGCGAGCUGGGUUUAAAACGUCGUGAGACAGUUUGGUCCCUAUCUUCCGUGGGCGCAGGACACUUGAGAGGAGCUAUCCAUAGUACGAGAGGACCUGGAUGGACGAACCUCUGGUGCUCCGGUUGUCACGCCAGUGGCAUAGCCGGGUAGCCAUGUUCGGAACAGAUAACCGCUGAAGGCAUAUAAGCGGGAAGCUGGCCUCAAGACUAGGUGUCCCUGACGCAAGUCACUAAAGGCCCCUCGAAGACUACGAGGUUGAUAGGCUCGGUGUGGAAGCGCUGCAAGGCGCGGAGCUAACGAGUACUAAUAGGCCGUGCGACUUGACCCC